rnacentral:misc_RNA from 1 species
AACUUUCAGCAACGGAUCUCUUGGCUCUCGCAUCGAUGAAGAACGCAGCGAAAUCCGAUAAGUAAUGUGAAUUGCAGAAUUCAGUGAAUCAUCGAAUCUUUGAACGCAUCUUGCGCUCCUUGGUAUUCCGAGGAGCAUGCCUGUUUGAGUGUCAUUUAACUUCUCAAUCACUUGAUAUCCUAGUGGCUUGGAUCUGGGGGUUGUUUGCAGGCAUUUUCAGUCAAAAGGAAAGGUCGGCUCCCCUGAAAUGUAUUAGUGGUAUCUGAGCUGCUACUAUAGGUGUGAUAAUUAUCUAUGCCUUUGGUAUGCUGCAUGAACGGAUUGCACUGCUUAUUAACAAAGACAAACUUGAUAAAUUUGACCUCAAAUAAGGUAGGACUACCCGCUGAACUUAAGCAUAUCAAUAAGCGGAGGCU